rnacentral:rRNA from 1 species
UACGUAGGGGGCAAGCGUUGUCCGGAAUCAUUGGGCGUAAAGCGCGUGUAGGCGGCCCGAUAAGUCCGCUGUGAAAGUCCAGGGCUCAACCCUGGAAUGCCGGUGGAUACUGUCGGGCUCGAGUCCGGAAGAGGCGAGUGGAAUUCCUGGUGUAGCGGUGAAAUGCGCAGAUAUCAGGAGGAACACCGGUGGCGAAGGCGGGAUCCUGGGCCAGUACUGACGCUGAGGAGCGAAAGCGUGGGGAGCAAACAGG